CAGAUCAUUAUACCAAAGUAUGUUUUGCAAAACAGAAAUAUCAACGUAAAGUCAAGACGAAACUAGUCUCCCAAAACGACCACGUACGUGUCCCGUGCGACGAAGGCUGCUGGGCGCCAUUUAUUGUAUUAUUUUAGUGGAAUUUUUAAUACUGCCCCAAUGGCGCCAUCACUGCCAUGCAAUUAGUGGCGCAAUUUGAUUUCGACCAAUGUCGGGACGGGAGACUCCGAAACGAGAUGAUCUAACCUGGCGAAAUUCCAAAGCAACUUCUUCAUGAAAUUUCGUUGUUGUAUUACGAUUUUAGCUUCAAUAUGCGGAAAUAUGGAAACGAGUUUCUGCAAAAGACAGGAACAAUGCUUCGGUAUGGGAUGAGGAAUUGUUGUAUGCGAUUCUGCGGAAUUUCCGAAGCUAUCCCGUGAACCUAUAUCGCUCUCUCUCUCUCUUUCCUUACAAGAUGCGUCAGCAGAAAUAUAAGCUGUGACCGGAAGUCGGGAGAUUGAAGUCAUGGUUAAGUCAUUUCAAAAGCAAAUAAGUACAAAUUAACAACAUCAAUACAGUCAAUUUUAAAACCCUUCACAUUACUAAGCGUAAAUUUUAGGGCUAAAUAGGAUAUAGAAUGAGAAUUUUAGAAAAUAGUUGAGACGAAAGAGAUUUAAUGGAUUUUGUUACCGACUUUAAUGCAAUUAUCGUUUGGUUGAAUCACACAUAAUAACUCGAACAAGCAAAGAAAAUAAAUGUGUCCGCGGGACAAUUUUGUCCGGCUCAUCAUCGGUGUUU